rnacentral:rRNA from 1 species
UUUAACGGCCGCGGUAUUCUAACCGUGCAAAGGUAGCGUAAUCACUUGUCUCUUAAAUAGAGACUAGUAUGAACGGCUAAAUGAGGACAAACCUGUCUCCUACAACCAAUCAGUGAAACUGAUCUUCCAGUCCAAAAGCUGGAAUACAAACACAAGACGAGAAGACCCUGUGGAGCUUUAAACCUACCUACCAACAAAUUCGCCUGGUAUAACGUUUUGAGUUGGGGCGACUUCGGAAAAAACCAAAACUUCCGAGAACAGAACCAUAACUUCUAACUGAGGCAGACAUGCCAAAAUAAACUUAGACCCAGUCACACUGAUCAACGAACCAAGUUACCCCAGGGAUAACAGCGCUAUCUUCUUCAAGAGUCCCUAUCGACAAGAAGGUUUACGACCUCGAUGUUGGAUCAGGACACCCCAAUGGUGCAGCCGCUAUUAAAGGUUCGUUUGUUCAACGAUUAA